rfam:Schistosoma mattheei strain Denwood, Zambia genome assembly, scaffold: SMTD_scaffold0021035
GCACUGCUGAGGAGUCCCACAAUAGGACGAAACGCCCGUCCAGUGC